rnacentral:rRNA from 1 species
AUUGAACGCUGGCGGCAGGCCUAACACAUGCAAGUCGAGCGGAGCGGCGGACGGGAGAGUAAUGCCUAGUAAUCUGCCUGGUAGUGGGGGAUAACGUCAGGAAACGGGCGCUAAUACAACACACUAUCAGAUGAGCCUAGGUCGGAUUAGCUAGUUGGUGGGGUAAAGGCCUACCAAGGCGACGAUCCGUAACUGGUCUGAGAGGAUGAUCAGUCACACUGGAACUGAGACACGGUCCAGACUCCUACGGGAGGCAGCAGUGGGGAAUAUUGGACAAUGGGCGAAAGCCUGAUCCAGCCAUGCCGCGUGUGUGAAGAAGGCCUUCGGGUUGUAAAGCACUUUCAGCGGGGAGGCGUUACCCGCAGAAGAAGCACCGGCUAACUCCGUGCCAGCAGCCGCGGUAAUUC